rnacentral:misc_RNA from 1 species
AACGCACAUUGCGCCCUUUGGUAUUCCGAAGGGCAUGCCUGUUCGAGCGUCAUUUCACCACUCAAGCCUGGCUUGGUAUUGGGCGUCGCGGUGUUCCGCGCGCCUUAAAGUCUUCCGGCUGAGCUGUCCGUCUCUAAGCGUUGUGGAUUUUUCAAUUCGCUUCGGAGUGCGGGCGGCCGCGGCCGUUAAAUCUUUAUUCAAAGGUUGACCUCGGAUCAGGUAGGGAUACCCGCUGAACUUAA